rnacentral:rRNA from 1 species
CGGACGGGUGAGUAAUGUCUGGGAAACUGCCUGAUGGAGGGGGGUAACUACUGGGAACGGUAGCUAAUACCGCAUAACGUCGCAAGACCAAAGAGGGGGACCUUCGGGCCUCUUGCCAUCGGAUGUGCCCAGAUGGGAUUAGCUAGUAGGUGGGGUAAAGGCUCACCUAGGCGACGAUCCCUAGCUGGUCUGAGAGGAUGACCAGCCACACUGGAACUGAGACACGGUCCAG